rnacentral:rRNA from 1 species
AAUGAACGUUGGCGGCGUGGAUUAGGCAUGCAAGUCGAGCGCGACAUGUAGCAAUACAUAGAGAGCGGCGAAAGGGAGAGUAAUACAUAGGUAAUUACCCUCGGGCCUGGGAUAGCAGCGGGAAACUGCUGGUAAUACCAGAUAACAUCUCCGGAUCAAAGGUUUACUACCCGAGGAAAUGCCUGUGUCCUAUCAGCUAGUUGGCGGGGUAAUGGCCCACCAAGGCAAAGACGGGUAUGGGGUGUGAGAGCAUGCCCCCACUCACUGGGACUGAGACACUGCCCAGACACCUACGGGUGGCUGCAGUCGAGAAUCUUCGGCAAUGGGCGAAAGCCUGACCGAGCGACGCCGCGUGCGGGAUGAAGGCCUUCGGGUUGUAAACCGCUGUCGUAGGGGAGCAAGGGGAAACCUUGAGCGAUCCUAGGAGGAAGGACCGGCUAAGUUCGUGCCAGCAGCCGCAGUAAUAC